UGUUCAUAGGGGAGCCCAGUCAGAGGAGACCUGUCCGGCCGUCCGUCAGGCCUGCUGGCCGGCAGAGAGCCGAGAGGAAGACGCGCCGUCAGGACGGUCCGGACCUCCAGGAGCCGCAGAGCCUGCACCAGGAGCCGCCCAGACCCGAGAGCGCCGCCUAGAGAUCAGCGGGACCGUUUACCUGAUACGUUAAUUCGGCAGGUGAAGAUCUGCUUCCAGCACCGGAGGAUGAAGAUGGAAAAGCGUUUGUAGGCUACAACCGGAGCAGCGGGGCCGCGCAUGCACCAUCAGAUCAACAGUAAGGGACGUAUGAAGGACAUGGAAACAGAGCCCGAGGAAAAGGAGGAUGUGGGCUGCAGCGCUGGAUCAAAGACAGCUUAUUAUAUCCGGCCUUGUAUUCUUUUUUUAAAGGACAAAGUGGACAGUUUAACGGGACAUCGUGAUAAACUACUAUGGAAGUAAAAAUAUCAGGUUUAGAGAUGUUGCCAGAAACUUUCAGAUUUUCUAAGUUUGAUUCCAGUAUGGUGGUUAGUGGACAAACAAACAAUAUAAGAGUCCAAAUCUAACAUGAACUUUCACUGUGUGUCGGCUGAUCGCUCACAGACGUCCGGGAAGAGGACAGGCUGGAUAUACCAGGGGCAACUUGGACGCAGUCUGCCUGUCUUCGUCUAAUGGUGAGUGUGUGCCCUUUUUCUGUGCAUAAUGACAGAAGGUUGUUGAGUAAAAGGCCACAGACUUUUUACAGCGUGAUGGCUGUUGAUUUGUAGUAAUCACUUUAUUUAUUAUUUACUCUGAAGUCUGAAGGGUGAUAUAAUGAGGAAACAAUGUACACUCUACUAUUUAAAUGUGUCGGCUUGGAUUUUUAUAAAUUUAAUUUGUUCAAAACUUGACUCAAACUCUCACUUAAUCACGUGCUGUCUUCUGACUAGAUCCAUGCUUGUGUUGUAAGAACUCUAAGAUGUAUAAAAGCGUCUGCUAAAUGUUUAAUAAAUGUUUAAUUAUUUGUCA